CACCAUUCUGGAGGGGAAGGGUACCUGCCUUAUUACUUCCAGGUUGCUGCCUUCUGAAGUUCCAAUUCUGGGAUACAUGCAGCAGAAAGAAAAUCCAGGAAACCCCCUGCCAUAUCAUUUUGCAGAGCAAUGUCAAGAACAAAAUCAAAAACCUAUGGAAGCCCACUGCAAAAUUAGAGGACAAGUUUUCCCUGUAAACCCUAAGACGAUCUACUCAGCUUCAAGAACUGCAGAAUAUCAGCACCUGUUUGAGAAAACUAAAUGGAAGCAGCAUGCCCUGAGAACACAAGAACCCAAAAUUGACAACGGACGUUCCCUGCAAGUAUGCCUGCAAGGUCAAUGUGAAAACAGUAGAUGAAACUAGGGGGGUGGUUUACACAUUCUAAUUGGUGUGUGAGUGCAAAAGGCCCAUAGAAAAGUCCAAAGAAGUACAACAAUCUAUAUUCUGUACACUAUAAAAAAUAAAAGCAAAAACAAAAAGAGACAAAACUUCCUUUAAAAACACAUCCUACAAUAAAGUAUAAAAUGCUGAGAAUAGAAUCCAUAGUAAAAGGAACCAUGGCAAUAAAGGGAGAAUGAUCCCGAUAAAUCAGUUAGGGAACAGAGUCAGGGGACUAUGGAAAGGAUAAGACUAAGUCAUAAUUUAGGGCACUUUACAAACACUGAGUAGUGAGCUCUAGAUGAAGGCAGAAACAUUUCUUGGUCUAUGCUUCUUCUAUUUUAAGUACAAAAAACCUAAAUCUAUGUAAGAAUGAGUAACAGGAAAGGAUCAUAGUUGAAUCAUGUGUGAUGUUAUUAUAAGGACAAAAGAAUGAAGAAAAAAAUAAUAAUCUUACAGACAGUGUAAGUAUGCUGAUGAGAACAUUCUAAAAAUACAUGCCCACUAGAGAAAAAGAAAACAAUAAUCAAAUUUUUCACUGCGACCUAAAUAAAAAUUAUGUAUAAUAUG